GAUGAACGCUGGCGGCGUGCCUAAUACAUGCAAGUCGAGCGAACGGACGAGAAGCUUGCUUCUCUGAUGUUAGCGGCGGACGGGUGAGUAACACGUGGAUAACCUACCUAUAAGACUGGGAUAACUUCGGGAAACCGGAGCUAAUACCGGAUGAUAUUUUGAACCGCAUGGUUCAAAAGUGAAAGACGGUCUUGCUGUCACUUAUAGAUGGAUCCGCGCUGCAUUAGCUAGUUGGUAAGGUAACGGCUUACCAAGGCAACGAUGCAUAGCCGACCUGAGAGGGUGAUCGGCCACACUGGAACUGAGACACGGUCCAGACUCCUACGGGAGGCAGCAGUAGGGAAUCUUCCGUAAUGGGCGAAAGCCUGACGGAGCAACGCCGCGUGAGUGAUGAAGGUCUUCGGAUCGUAAAACUCUGUCAUUAGGGAAGAACAUAUGUGUAAGUAACUGUGCACAUCUUGACGGUACCUAAUCAGAAAGCCACGGCUAACUACGUG
rnacentral:rRNA from 1 species